rnacentral:rRNA from 1 species
UACGAAGGUGGCUAGCGUUGUUCGGAUUUAUUGGGCGUAAAGGGUCCGCAGGCGGUUUGAUAAGUCAGGUGUGAAAUCCAACAGCUUAACUGUUGACACGCAUUUGAUACUGUCAGACUAGAGUAUGAGAGGGGUGAGAGGAAUUUCCAGUGUAGGGGUGAAAUCCGUAGAUAUUGGAAAGAACACCGGCCGCGAAGGCGUUUCACUGGCUCAUUACUGACGCUCAGGGACGAAAGCUAGGGGAGCGAACAGG